CCUACGGGAGGCAGCAGUGGGGAAUCUUGCGCAAUGGGCGAAAGCCUGACGCAGCAACGCCGCGUGCGGGAAGAAGGCUUUCGGGCUGUAAACCGCUUUCAGCAGGAACGAAAAUGACGGUACCUGCAGAAGAAGGAGCGGCCAACUAUGUGCCAGCAGCCGCGGUGAUACAUAGGCUUCAAGCGUUGUCCGGAUUUAUUGGGCGUAAAGAGUUCGUAGGCGGUCGAGUAAGUCGGGUGUGAAAAUUCUGGGCUCAACCCAGAGACGCCACCCGAUACUGCUUGACUUGAGUUCGAUAGGGGAGUGGGGAAUUCCUAGUGUAGCGGUGAAAUGCGCAGAUAUUAGGAGGAACACCGGUGGCGAAGGCGCCACUCUGGAUCGAUACUGACGCUGAGGAACGAAAGCAUGGGUAGCAAACAGGAUUAGAUACCCUGGUAGUCCAUGCCGUAAACGGUGGGCACUAGGUGUGGGUUUCUAUUAACGAAAUCCGCGCCGUCGCUAACGCAUUAAGUGCCCCGCCUGGGGAGUACGGUCGCAAGACUAAAACUCAAAGGAAUUGACGGCUUGAGACGUUGCGAGNGACACGAGGGAGAG
rnacentral:rRNA from 1 species